UAAAGAAACCCCCUGUUAAAAUAAGCCACCCUCAUCUCCCACCGCCCUCCCCCGGCUCCCCGUCUCUUUCCUGGGUCUUGCCGGCUCCACUGGGGGGGUGUCAGAACGGAAAGACCGCUCUAGCGGGGCCUGUCGCGGGUUUCGGUGCCCCACGAUACGCUCAGAAAAGCGUUUUAUCGACACGUUUACACGCGUCGACGCCACAGCCGACCGUAAGCAGAUUACAGUCGCGCGUCGCGUGGCUCAUUAGUGUCUGCGCUUUAAAAGGCCGGCGAGGCGGGAGAAACGUUCGCAGCCUCAGUUAAAUGUCUACUAAAAGGAACAUGAAUAAUGCAUCAACCAAAUAUAUUCAUUUCGGUGUUUUCUGUAUUUAGCUCAAGUUUAAUUUCCCCACAGGGCAGAGUUUGGUUUUAGCUUGUCCUUGUUCUCAAUUAUUCUUUUAUUAUGUAGGCGUCGUUGAAGCCCAGCGAGACUGCAACCUUGAUUAAAGGCAGCGCAAAUGAGAUUGACUCGUGCGGUGUGUUAAGCGCUGCAGCGGACCAGAUGGGGGAAAAAAUCCCUUUUUUAUCCAACAAGUAGAGGAAAUGGCCUUUGGCAAUAAGAGGCAUCCCGUCUCCCCACUGUGACCUACGACCCCGCUUCCCCGGAUUGAAAUUCUGUGGACGUCAGUGAGGAAUUGUCUCCACAGACAGGGGGACAAAUGGAGGCUGGAGAGGGGAAAAGAGAAGUGAUUGAGCGCUCCUUCCAGACGUGGCGUGUUUCCCUCCUUCUCAAACCUAAAGCUACUUUUUUGUAGAAAAAGUACACAACUCGAAUGUAUGUCGCAGGAAAUCCUCAACACAAUGUAUUAUUCCCAUGAAACGACAUGAGCGGGAUUGUAUUCAUGUCUCUGAAGUGACAUAAACGUUAAAGCUGUAAUAAUUGCAACAGAAUAUAAACUGUUUUCGCAUUAAAGGACGUAUCGCUUAUAUUAGUUGAAAGGAUCUUUAUUUAUCAUUCAUUAUCCCCCCACAACCAGGCGCACUUUAAAAGUCCCGCUCGCUCCUCAUUCAUCCUCCCAUGACGUCGACCCGAGCUUUAAUAAAGACGUUUUCGACACGUGGAUUAAGAGAGCUCGAUGAAUCUUUGAUCGAAAGGUAACGUCCUCUGUUGCAUCUCAUCCAAGGACGUUCUGCUUUCCCUUUUGUUCAUAUCUAAAUGAUUCAUGAUUCAGCCUUUCAUUCGGUUCGUGUUCACGCGGCUCCUCCACUCCGAUCAUCUGUUCGGGGGGGUUUGUUGUUGUCGUCGCAGAGGUGCAGCAGAUCUCUGGGGACUCCGGAGGGGAAAACAACAACCUGGUUACUGCCGGCAGGGUUUUUUUGUUUUGUUUUUUUUCACCUUCAAUCAGCGUUCAGCCGAAUGCACGGAACGAAAGCGCCUCUCCGUGUUCAACGGGCCUUGUUCUCAGCGCCGGUCUCCAGGGUUCCGAUAAGAGUUUGCCCGGCUCGGCGCUCCUCUGUCUCUUAAAAACAGUUUGAUGCUGACAGAAAAGUGAAAUUUUGGACGAUUUGAUUUCCAGAAGAACACAGAAGACGGCAAAUCCCCUUCAGGUUCCCGCCCAACGGAGCAUCGGUUGGGAAGAUCGACUUUGACGGGAAGAAGACGUUUUCUUUACUUUUGGUUCGUCUGGGGGGGGGGGAUUCGUACGAGCACCGAAGGACGACGCCGGCCCGUCAAGCAACGCACAUGCAGCUGUUUGGGGCCACGCCUGCCCGACCAAAGACGAACCGCACGUGGCCACAUGGCCGACUCCUCCGAGAGGGAAGCCAUCGGCGGCACCGGCUGCCGCUCGUGAGAAAUCGAACAAGCAUCCUGCACGAUUCCAGACGUUAUUCUGAUCCCAGCUGCUGUGCAUGUACCUCCUCCUUCUCACACACCUGCUGCUCGUUAGCCAUCGGCUGGAGCGGACCCCCCCCCCGAACUCUCACCUCCGGGUUACCUUCUGGAUGUCGCAUCUCUUCCUCCUCUUCCUCAACCGGGUCCUUUUGUGCGACUCGCCCACGAUCUCCUGAUGCGCAUUUUCAUUUGAAAUAGAAUCAACCUGCGAAACGGGAAUCAAGGAGCAAAUCGUGGUGUGGAUCUUUGAAAAAGGAAGUCAAUGAUUCCGAGCAGCUUUCAGGGAAAGAAAGAUGAACGGCGAUCACCGCGGCCUGUUUAUCGGGUGAGAACGUUUCAUGAGGUUGAUUUCCCCGGAGCCUCACGGUGGCUCUUUUCUGCUCAGAUCCUUCGACCUUCUCGUAACUCUGCAGCCAGACACUAAAAAAGAAGUGAUUAUGCAGCUGCUUUUUAUUUCCCCUCAACAGCAGCGGUUAUCUUUCUGUUUCCAACGUCUGCUGCUUUUCCACUCCUUCCACGGUGUGAUUAACUUUUAUAUUCCUCACUGCAGUUAAAUCCCCAGCUGCCUUCAUUCACGCACCUGAAUGCUCGCUUCUUCUCAGCCGGCGGCGUCUUCCCAGAAGGCCGCUGGCUCGGAGCUCGUUUACCGCGUCGUCCCCGGGGCGGCCCGACGCGACCCCGUCUGCGCGUCUCUGCCGGCUCACGGGUGAUCUAUCGCGUCUGCGAGGAAACAAAACCAUCGCAAUCCAUCGGCCGAGACUCCCGAGCGCACCCACACAUAACUGAUCAGAGCCCAUGUAAUCACUUCGCCAUCUGUGGGAAAAUAUGUUAUUUCAAAAAAAUCUUCGCCAGUCCCCAAAACUUCCAGGAUUCAAGAAGGAAAGUGAUAAUAAUUAUACUUGGUAAUCAUGUCAGAAAUUGUGUUAAAAUGAGUCUUUUUGAGGGUUUUUGAGGGGUUCAACCGGCGUAUUGAAAGGUGACAUUGUGCGAUCUUGACACCUGUUUGUCUACACGACUUGGCUUUUAAAAACCCACAUUUAAUUUCAGAAGAGACCCUAAUCACCGCUUUCAGAUCUCCCGAGCUCCAUAUUCACCCCGACGGCAGGAUUCGGCCUUUUCACCGCUCUGAGUGCAAAUGAGUCCGAGCAGCUUGAAGUGAUCCCAAUCAGCUCCGAGUGUUUUCCCACACGUUGUCAUCAGUGCGGAAUGCGCUGAUUGGGAUCAGCUCAAACAGCCAUGAAUAUGACAAUUAUCCUCGUCCUGGGACAAGAAGGUACAAGUGGGUUUCAGUGCUAAUACAUGUAGAAAAUAAUGAAUUCCGUAGUGUUGCAGCAACUUACUGAUCAAGGAAACCUUAAAGGAAUAGUUCAACAUUAUGGGAAAUAUUGUUUUUUUUAGAAGACAAAGACCACUUUCAUAUCUGUGUGGAUUAGAUGCUACAGCCGGUUAGCUUAGCUUAUCUUAGCUUAGCUUAGCGCAAAGACUGUGUGUGUGAUAAUAAAAUCAAAAGUUAGAAAAAAACAAAACAAAGGGGUUGAAAUGAGAGCAAACAUUAAUUUCAAACUUUUCAUUAAAACGAGAUUAAAGUAGAAACACAGUGGCUAGAAUUUUCAUUUAUUCUACUUUAAAUUUUACUGUUAAAUGUCCAUGUUUAUGUUUUUAUUUAAACUUACAACCUAGUUUUGUCUCAUAUCUUAAAGAUAAUUUCAAAACACCAUCGGUCAAAAACAGGGAAAACUCAUCCUCUCGAUACAGAACACAUCAGCAAACGUCAUUUAUCUCUCUAUUAUUUCUAGUCUUAUUAAUCAGACUUUCAAUCAAACUGGUCUGACUGCUAUCUGCAAAAUACUCUCAUUGACGUGCAUUAAUAAUGACUUUUGUAAAUGGAACAUUGCCUUUCAUUUGUCCCAAUAAUUAAACUGCGCGCAAAUCGUUUAUGGAUGAAUGGUGUUAGAAAAUAUAUUAACGUAAGCCACAAAUCAUUGUGGGAUGCUUGAAACAUUUUGUUGAGUAUUCAUUGAGGUAAUUUAAUUUUUUUUUUUUACUAUUAUUCGACUAAUACGUUAAUCUCCCGCUGAACUUAAAUAAAGCUCAUAUUUUCUUUCGCUCACAGCACAUCUGUUUCUAAUUCAGCAGAAAAAGGCAGCAGCUGUAGAAAAUAAAUGCACCAUCUUAAGGUUGUAUUAGCAUAAUAAAUAUACAGAUCUGCUUUGCUCGUUUUAAGAAAACACCGAUUAUAAUUAGUGAUUUAGAAAGAAGAGGAAGGAUUUAUUAUUUGUUUGUGCCUUCGAGUGUGUGUGUUUGACCUUGACCGUGUGUGCAUUUAAUUCAUUUAAAUCACAUAUUUAAAUAAAAACAGUAAAUAACAGAACCCUCCUCCUCCUCUGCCCUCCACCUCCUCCUCUUCCUCCUCCUCCUCCUCCUCCUCUGCCCUCCACCUCCCCUGCUUCCUGCUGUCAUGUGACCCCUCGUCACUCGUCCUUUUGUUCCUCCAUCACCCCCUUCAAGUGCGUCACUGUGCACUCGGCGUGGAGAGGGCAGAGUGCACAGCUCCUGUCGGGAUGUUUAUCUGCGUGUCUGAGGUUCGGACUGGUUGCGCUUUCGACUUCUUCCUCCUCGAUGAAUUUUUCUUUUUGAAAACAGAGAUAAGAGCCCGUGCUGUUCUGAAACAUCGACAGACAGCUCUAAGCAACCUUUAGAAAAUGGAUUUUUGAGAGUUUGAGGAAGGCGAGGAACGAGGCGAGGAACCCAAUGGGUCCCCCGAACGCUUGCCUCAAGAUGUAUGAAUGACAACAGGUUUUAUGGGUAGAUGCACGAGUCCUUUUACAGACUCCAUCCCGAUGCCGUGUGGUUUACAUGCAAAGACCAUAAACUAUAAAUGUGCUCUCUUUAACCACAGGAGCCAUUUCACACACGGAGACCAUUUGUCUUUAAAGUGACCUGUUGUGACCUCUAGGACAAACGCAGCUUAACAACCACAAGCUGGAGAUGCAGAGCAUUCAGAGGAUGGGUGUUUGUGCUGGAGAUGUUGACAUUAAAGGUCCCUGAGAAGUUUACAGGACAGAAAGUUUGAUCGCAGAAAACUGCACAUCUUGUAGAAACCUUUAAAUGUCAAACGGUUAAUAAUUUAGUCCUUUAUUGCUGCCGAGGUGAAGAAAGUUGCAGUAUUAUUACGGAUGGUGCAACAACGCGUCAUUGAAAAACAAAACAAUAACAGAUUAAUAAGCAAACAGUGAAGAUAUAAUAAAUAACUAAAAGCCGUAAAACCAAGAAAAACUCACGUAAGCUGCGUAAACCGGUCUGUAUUUAAUCAUUGUGUUUUUGUGAUGUCUGAAGACGAACCGUUGCAUCUCCAAUAGAUCCUCUAGGAUUACAUGCACCACUUCUGGGGGUCGCAGGCGGCUGAUCCCUCUUCUGAGGAGCUCAGAAAGACAAAUGCCGGGUGUGUGCGGGUCUCCCGGGGGUGGAUGUGAGGAGGUGGACAAAGGCAGAAGGAGAAAACUCGCCAGAGGAGGAGGAAGCUGAAAGAAAGACUGUCAAGGUGAAGGAGGGGAGCGGUUUUUCUUUUCUCUUCGUGUGGCUCCCCAGAGGAUCUCCAUUUAUCUCUGUUAUUCUCCCCCCUCCCCCCUUUCUCGGCAUCAAAUAGAAAUUCCCUGAUUUCCACCUCCUGGUUCUCUGCAAGUCAAUGGGCAUUCAUCCUCAAGCCUGCGGAGAUGCCGGAAAGCUUCCAACCUCCACUUUACACCUUCGGCCUCAGUGGCGCCGCGUCGUCUCACCUCCUUCUCCCCUUUGCUGCUUUUUCUUCCCCUUCGUGCAAUCAGAGAGACCAAUCUGCAAACUCCCUCCCUCCCUCUCCUGUGGAUACGGAGUCAUGCACACAACGGGCUCAGACUCCCUGCAGGAACGUGACCCCGUCGUUGCCUCCCGUCGUCUCCUCAGAUCCAUCUGACCCGCUGCAGCAGCCAGCGUGUGGGAUGAAAAUCAAGUGCAUGUUUACACUUUAUUUUCCACGUGGCCGAAACAAAACAUCUCCUUGUGUCACGUAAUGUCUCCCUUAUUUAUUUAUAGCUUCAAUCUGUUUCCCUCUUUAAAAAAAACAGCCAAUGCGCGUUUAAAUUAUGGUGCACAUUUGAUUUAACAAGCUCCCCCUGCGCACGGGUCUUUUUCUGUUUAUAGUGCCAAUAGAACUGCUGCAUUCUGGGUCGUAUCCAAGCAAGAAACCGGAGGAUCACAUCCAACUGAACAUAAACCUGACAUGGACACAAACACCGCAGGUAUUAGUUGAUUUAACUAGUCUUUCUCACUUGGAUGAUUCAAAGAGAGGCAACAGGUACUGAGACGUUCUCUAUCGUAUCGACAUUCCCUCAUGCUGUCUUCACCAGUUGAGACAAUCACACAAACUACUUCUGUCGUGUUUUUCCAAAUGGAGUCAAAAUAGGAAACUUCUUUCAUCUAAAUUCCACAGGGCUCUUCAGGGAACCAUAAAUAAAAAUAAAACGCAGACACACGGCGCUAAAGGAAACGUCCUCUCUGUGGGUGCAGAGGAACGACGCCAGAGACCGAAAAACAAGGACGCACGCGAUCGUAUUUGGACAGUCUGGGGACGAAAGAAUCCCAACAACACUGACGUGUCCUGCAGCGCCUCCUGUCUGCUUGACCUGCGCUGACUCGGGUCAAUGGAGGUGAUUGUUUCGUGGUCACCGGGAGGAGAAAACGAGUUUGGAGGAGAAGCUCCGCGGCGUCCCGUCAGAGACACUAAUUGGUCCAAAUCCGAAGGUGGUUUCACAAUUCAUCGAGAAUCAAAGCAAGCGAAUCAAAAAACACGAAGAUAUCACUUGCAUCAAAAGGAAAACUAAGUGGGAGGGGAUUGGAUUAUGAAGGAGUGGUUAAUGUUUCAUACUCCCUGUACAGCAGGUGGCGAUAUGCAGCUUCACAAUGUGUUUACCUGCAGUAAUGAGGAAGAAGAAGAAGAGGAACACCUGGCCAAAGGGCCUAAACAAGGAAACCUCUUCUCAGGUAUUUGCUCUUUCUUUGACUCUUGUGAUGGAAACCAAUGACUUGUCAACCCUUAUGAAUUCAAUUGAACAUCGCAUAUGCAGAGGCCUGUGACGAGAGAGAGUUUCACCAAAACACACUUUAGAUUAGAAAGCAUUGGGUUCCUUUUGUCUUUCCGCCCAUGUUUGAAACCUCGUCAUCCAACGAGUGUUUCUCCAAAAGGCUUCGAUCCAGGUCGGUGCCCUUCGUCUGUUGUUUAACUCUUCUUGAGCUGUAAGAAACGUCUCUAUGCUCUAUUUUGAAGGUGGUCUGUUUAAACUCUCCAUCCUGUUGCUUUCUGUAGAUGAGGAACCCGGGUGGCUUGAAUGCUGCCAGAUCUCCCCGUCCUUUCAUUUUUCUUUCCCCCGUACCUGAGACCUUUAUUUUGAAACUGACCUUCGCUACAUGACCCCGAUGUCGUGCGUUGUCGUUCUUUGCUUUCUGAGGGACGUGUGCCCUGGAACCCCGCGGGCUGAAACCCUUGUCCCGCAGCACAGAAGCAGGUUUCAGGCUCAGUGAAGCGCACGGCGACUCCACAGCGUUCUCCUCCCAAGGGGGGAGGCGCGUUUACUCUUUCCCACCCAAAAGAUUCACAGCAGAACUUUGUUUCCUGUUUGCAGGCGAGUCGAGCUGAUCGCAGAGUGUGGCACCACAAUACUGCCGGCUGGUCUCGGGGGUCCCACGUUCCCCCCCUGUAGAGCUCCCGCCUCCUGACGCUGACAGUAUAAUUAAAUGUAUAGUCAUGUAAGUCAUAUAAACACUGUACACAUUAACAUGUCACGAUGUGAUGUUAAAACCUGGGGACGGAUGCUAAUUGCCGUCCUCUAAGGAUUUCCCCCAAAGAGGGUUUUAGGAGAGUUUUUUUUUCUCCUGUCAGGUAGGAAAUGAGCAACUGGAUGCAAGAUCUUGGCAAAUAUCUGGAGUAUUGGACCACAUGAACUGUGUUAAACCUUAAGAUGAACAGUGAUCAUUUAUGAUGUGUUGUUAUUAACGCGUACCAGCUAUAGGAUACAGUAUAUAAACUAUGGAUGCUUUGGAAUGUGAGGGACAGAUAAGACAGAGAGGUUCCAGGUUGCAGCAGCAGAUUCACACCUGGACGUGAAGGGGACAAACCAGGAGGAGACACGUUUGAACGAGAAGCCAAUGACAUUCAAAUAAAGCUAAAAGACACCCGGGAGUUUUCAAAGGACUAAGGAACAGUUUUCCUGCAGCUGCUUUGGUACGUCGCGUUAGACUUGCUCAUAGAAUCUAUUCUAUUUUGCGAAAUAUUUUACUCUUCACAUUAUAUUUCAUUUUGUAAUUGUAUUAUUAUUAUUAUCACGAGAACAAAGGAGCGUGAUCUCCCUCGAACCCCCCAACAGGUUUAUUCUUUUGUGCAAGAUUGAACCAAGUUGAAUGCAAUAACAAGUUAGGGAAUUAGGGCUAUUAUUUAAGGACACUAGAUAAUGUUAACUUAGACUCCUCGCCCAAACCGCAAAAGAACUCCAUUACUUAAUAAAUUUCAUUUUUUUCCGCCGCGCCUUUCCUCGUCCUUGUAGUCGUCCUCUUCCCUUUUUUAGGUUUUCGCUCCUCUCUGCAUGACGAGUCCUUUGAUUCCCCAAGACUCAGUGAUUUAAGUAUUAAACCGCCCAGAGGUUUGGCCCGAUAUCCCACCGUCAACAUGCAUUCAUUAUGUCAUCAGAAGUCAAAUCCAGCUUUUUAUUACUUGUUAUAAAAAUAAAACUCACACGGCCACCUUUUUUUUUUUUAUUCUCGGCCUCCAUAUUUUUAGCCUUGUGUCUCCCUUCGAUAACAUUUACAAGGAAAUGUGGAUUCACAUUUAAGGUCAAAUCACCUUAAAGCAUGAAACCCUCAGCGUGUAUUUUCAGUGCUAUUUGAGGAGAGUUGUAAAGCUUCCCGCCAAGGACGAGUGUGUCAGCAGAUAAACCUCCGCAAGCCGCUCCACUAUUUUUAAAUGUAGAAAUAUUUUGACUCCGUCCUUGGCGAGGACAAAGACGAACCAUCCCGUGGUGCAUGCUGGGUAAAAGUCACCGUCCUGUGGUCUUUAGUGUCCUUGCGCCACGUUGUUUCCUGCAGCUCCGCUGAGGAUUGCUCUCAUAACUGCGAUGUACUUACGCCUGAUGCGUUUACCGUCCUGCUGCAGACGUGGCUUUCAGUCUCAGCUGCACGACGAUGCAACAACAAUGGCCGCUUGAUUUGCUUCCCGCACAGACAGACGGGCCGAUACGCGCUGGUGGAGGAGACGAUCGCCUGCUGCCGCAGCUUAAGGGUUGUUCGGGCAGAUGGAGGGAAACAAAGCGGUUUGAUACGGGCCGAGCUGUCCGACAAUGAGCCAUAUGCACAGCAGGAAACGAAAUGUCUGCAGGGCCUGGAGGUUCAGCUGAAGGCUCGUGUAACACAUGCUGCACAGCGUAUUCCCACGCGGAGCGUGAGCGAUCUGUCGCGUUUCCUCGGCAGGUUGUAUUGAUCUCGACCUCGGCGGGAAUGAUUCCUGCUGCACAGCUUCGUCUCGGGCCUGCAGAUAAAAAGUCCCGUCCUCUCUUUUGGUUUGAGCUUUGGAGGGUCGGUGGCCUCGGUGACACAUCGCAGGCAGGUCACGCGCUGAUUUAAGGAGUACGUCUUUGUGACGCUGACAGUCUUCUGCCACUGCAGUAAUUGAGGUUCAUUAAUCUGAAUCUCAGCCGUGUUUGAUCGUUUUGGGAGUAAACUGUCAAAUUGGUGCAAAAGGUAGAAUUUUUCUUUGAUCCUCUGAAGGGAUUUUCUGAGAACGGAGUGGAGACGCACGCUGGGUUUGGAAGCUGACUAUUUCCCGGCUGAUGUCAGUGAACGAUGUCUUUGUUGCAGUUUUUGGGAUCCCUCCCACGAAACGCCGCUAAGCUCCCUCUCGCGUUAAAUGGUUGGAAAAAGUUGUAGGCUACUUAAUGUUUGCUGAUGAGCGAGCUUACCCAGAAACGUACACGUGUGACGGGUGGGAUUAGUCGCCUCUAAUCCUUCAUUAAUUAAACGCGGGAGAAGGUUCAAACUUCUUUCGGCCUCGGACAACACAGCGGAGGGUUACCAAGCCACGAGGGAAUGACGUCAUCAACCCAACCAGAGCUCUACUGCCCUCAGCUGGUGUCACGGUGACACUGCUGGCAAACGGCAAAUCCGCGCGCACACACACACACACACACGGGAUGGAAAUGCUUUCACGCCUCUGUGGCUUCUGCUGAGGUCUGUAGUGUUUUAAGAGCAGCCGUGUGCUUCACGCAGAAGUCUCUUAUCAGAGGUCAGUCACCGUUGUUAUUCAAUAUAUUCAGCUAAAUUAUCUUCAUGCAAAGUCCGAGCACAGUUUCCCACGUGAAGAACUCAAAUGUUGGUUUGCUAUUCAGUGAAUUCCAAAGCAACUUGAUUUGAGGCACUCUGAUGAUGCUGAUGAUGAUGUCAGACAAACUCUGACACACUUAUUCUAUUGUGGUGAGCAAUACAUAAUUAUCUUGAUUGCUGUAAUCAAAGUUCAUAGAUAAAAUUGGGUCUAUUUGCACAAAAAGUGUGCAUUUGUCUAAUUGAUAAGAUAAUUUCUUUCUCAAUUAAAUGGGGAAAAAAACCUGCAGUUUCCUCCAUAUAUUUAUCAGAUGAAAUAUUCAAUUUGUGUAGAUAAUCACAUGCAGGACAGGAAUGUAAUGGGUGCAGAGAGCCUCCACACAAAGGCUUUGAUUUGAUUGACAGGUGUGCUGCCCCCGUGCAUCUCGGCUCAAGCUGCAGCGGCGUGAAAUGAGCUUCAAUCACGGCUGCUUACCGGCGUUGUUUGUGCUUUAUUAUCAUUUUAUUUCCAAUGCAGCAGUGAUUGUGUCAGAAUGACACUGCUUUCAAACAUUUCUGUGUCCAACAAUCUGCCGACAGGUCAAGUAAGUUACAUCAAUAUUUAAUCUAAUAAGACGUUUAAAACACGGUAUCGGGAAGCCGCUGGUGUUCUGUUCAUCAAUAUCUGUAUCAGGAAGAACACAUGGUCCUUUCAUGUUGUGUCACCCUAAUCCACCCCAGUCAGAAAGGUACUGUUCGUAAUAGUUUCAUGAAAUAAUGGUAUAAUUAAUCGAGUUCUGGUAUUUUGUGCAAACAAAAAAGCCUGCAAGUGAUAAUUAAUUUCCUUAUUAAAUCUGUCAAUAUAUAUUUUGUUCUAUUGUAUAAUUGUAAUAUAAAAUGUACUUUAUUUAAUAAUUAGUCUUCUUCAAAUUGCUUCUUGUGUCAGACCAACAGAAGAUAUCCAGGAAACGUGUGCGCCUUUGAUCGGGUUUAUAAUGAAGACCUGUUGACCAGCUUCAUGGAGCAGAUGGUGAGGAUGGUCAGGAUGAUGAUGGUGAGGAUGGUCAUGACGGUGAUGGUCAUGAUGGUCAUGAUGAUGGUGAGGAUGGUCAUGAUGGUCAUGAUGAUGGUGAGGAUGGUCAUGAUGAUGGUGAGGAUGGUCAUGAUGAGGAUGGUCGUGAUGAUGGUGAGGAUGGUCAUGAUGGUCAUGAUGAUGGUGAGGAUGGUCAUGAUGAUGGUGAGGAUGGUCAUGAUGAUGAUGGUCAUGAUUAGGAUGGUCAUUAUGAGGAUGGUCAUGAUGAGGAUGGUCAUGGUGAUGAUGGUCAUGAUGAGGAUGGUCAUUGUGAGGAUGGUCAUGAUGGUGAGGAUGGUCAUUAUAAUGAUGGGCAUGAUGAGGAUGGUCAUGAUGAGGAUGGUGAGGAUAAGGAUGGGCAUGAUGAGAAUGCUCAUGAUGAUGAUGGUCAUGAUGGUGAGGAACGGUUAUUAUAAUGAUGGGCAUGAUGAGGAUGGUGAGGAUAAGGAUGGUCAUGAUGAGGAUGUGAGGAUGGUCAUGAUGAUGAUGGUCAUGAUGGUGAGGAUGGUCAUUAUAAUGAUGGUCAUGAUGAUGAUGGUCAUGAUGAGGAUGGUCAUUGUGAGGAUGGUCACGAUGAUGAUGGUCAUGAUGGUAAGGAUGGUCAUUAUAAUGAUGGUCAUGAUGAUGAUGGUCAUGAUGGUGAGGAUGGUCAUUAUAAUGAUGGUCAUGAUGAGAAUGGUCAUGAUGAGGAUGGUCAUUGUGAGGAUGGUCAUGAUGAUGAUGGUCAUGAUGGUAAGGAUGGUCAUUAUAAUGAUGGUCAUAAUGAUGAUGGUCAUGAUUGGUGAGGAUGGUCAUUAUGAUGAUGGUCAUGAUGAGAAUGAUCAUGAUGAGGAUGGUCAUUAUGAGGAUGGUCAUGAUGAGGAUGGUCAUUAUGAUGAUGGUCAUGAUGAGAAUGGUCAUGAUCAGGAUGGUCAUUAUGAGUAUGGUCAUGAUGAUGGUGGUCAUGAUGAGGAUGGUCAUGAUGAGGAUGGUCAUUGUGAGGAUGGUCAUGAUGGUAAGGAUGGUCAUUAUAAUGAUGGUCAUGAUGAUGAUGGUCAUGAUUAGUGAGGAUGGUCAUUAUGAUGAUGGUCAUGAUGAGAAUGAUCAUGAUGAGGAUGGUCAUUAUGAGGAUGGUGAGGAUGGUCAUUAUGAUGAUGGUCAUGAUGAGGAUGGUCAUUAUGAUGAUGGUCAUGAUGAGAAUGGUCAUGAUCAGCAUGGUCAUUAUGAGUAUGGUCAUGAUGAUGGUGGUCAUUAUGGUCGAUGGUCACACAAAGCGUUCUUGGCAAUACUUUGUCCAAAUUAAAAUAAAUACCUGCUGGAAGCCUCAAACCCGCAGAAUCCUUCAUCAUAAAACUGUUCUCAGGUUCCCACUUGAAGCCAUCAGUGAACAGGGGCUUUGUGAAUAUUCAGAAUGACUACAGGAGGGUUUUUUUUACCAUUUGCACAAAGCCUCCCACUCUGCGCAUGGGCUGCCUUUUUUUAUUGCUGUAGUUUUGCUUUUGGGUAAAAGCAGUAAUAAAAAGGUUCAUUAUGAGCGCUCAUGUUUUAUUGCCUUGACAUUCCACUAGUCUCUAAAAAAAAAUGCUCUUGCGCCUUUUCCACCCGAGGGGAUGGAAAAAUAUAGCUUACUAAUACAUUUCACAUAAAGAUGAAAGUGUUCCGAUGCAGUGUUGGACUGUAGAAAUGCCCCCCACCCCCCCUUUCCUCCCCCAAGCUGUUAUCUCUGCUCGCUGCUCCCCCGCCUCCUUAUCUCAUCACCCAUUUUUCCUGUAAUUAGACAUAAUUGGUUUUUCUGCACCAAAAAUCCUUCGUGCGGAUCAUUUCUCAUUUGUCUCCGUGAGAAAAAUGAAUGUUGGAUUACACGUUUUUACGCUUUGAUGGAGCUCUGCACUCUGCAAAGUGCUUUAGAAUGACUCAAACGGAAUCACACUGCCAAUCAAUCACAAUUUCAGGCAACUACAGUGAUAACAUCAAGUGAAAAGUAAGUUGCUAUGGAAACACUAUUAAACGGUCAAAACAUUCUGUUGUACGUGCAUUCUGUUAAAGCAACUGAAUAAAGUUUAAUCUAAAAAAUAGACUUUUAGGUGUUUCGUGUGAUCAUGUUUCACGUCUUUCACGUGUCUUCUUUAAAUACAUCAAAUGCAACAUUCCUGUUUGACGGUGUCCUCGGAUUUUCUUCUGCUGCGACUGGCAUUUGAUUGACAGUUCGCACGCGCGGAGACGGCUCGGCUGAAUCUUUUAUUCUGUUGAGAGCUCAGUAAUGAAAAGAAGAAGAAUACUGAGUGCAAAAUGGAUUGAAAUGUACCAUUUCCCCCUCCAGUUAAUGGAAACGUUGACACUUUUAAAACGAUUUCAAAAAUAUAAAAUGCUGGAAGUUUUUGAAAUGUUAACUAUUCUGGAGUCUUAAGAGGUGAAGUUGUGCAGAUAUUUAAUACA
ensembl:lncRNA